CGGCGGACGGGUGAGUAACGCGUAGGAAUCUACCCAGUAGUGGGGGACAACAUGGUGAAAACCAUGCUAAUACCGCAUACGCCCUAAGGGGGAAAGCGGGGGACCUUCGGGCCUCGCGCUAUUGGAUGAGCCUGCGUCGGAUUAGCUUGUUGGUGAGGUAAAGGCUCACCAAGGCGACGAUCCGUAGCUGGUCUGAGAGGAUGAUCAGCCACACUGGAACUGAGACACGGUCCAG
rnacentral:rRNA from 1 species